AACCAACAUUCCAUCAGAACAGAGCCAUACUUGGCCUUCUUGACAUUCCCCAAUCCCCGCUCAUCAGGAUGACUCACUCACAGCCACAUCUCAGGUGUCUCAAGUAAUGUCUCACCUUUGUAUUGCUAGAGGCCACCUGUUUGAGUGUUGCCCACUGUGCACACAGGUCAAUGAGACAGUAUGCGAUCAAAUGACAAUAGUGUGGGUUGGAACUACCCAGCGACUCAUCAAAAAGGCCAUAAAAAAGCAAAGAGAACAAAACCUGAAGCUCAGGCUGAGCCACGCGUGUAAAACCACGACACAAGGACGGACAAAGGAACUAUAAUAAAGAGUGGAAAAAAGUGGUUAAGGCAAUAAAGACAAGAGGAGCUUCACAUGAAUGGAGAAUUAUUGGCUUUAUAGGUGCCUGGAGAAAGGCAGAACAGGUCACAUCACUUUCCCUUCUAGUGAAGGGCAGUUCAGCGAUUUGGAAUUCAACAAUGUUUGAUGGAGAGUUUUGAUCUCGAACUAACAUUUUGCUCUGGCAGCAGCAAUAGAGGUGGGUCAUUAACUCAGAACCCCAUAAUAAAUAAAUGCAUGUGACAAUGCCUCACAGGAGUGGACAGUGCUGAGGGAACCAUCCAAGAAAGUCCCCCAGUCCACAAGAAAAGAUCUCCUUUCCCAUGUUUCCCACCUCAUUCACACCUUAUACUUCAGUGAAGAUUACUGGUUAAUUUUAUCCUCUCUAAGUCAUGGUUUAUGUUAUAAAGUCAUCCUGCCAAUAUCUCUGGGAAACUCUCCAAACCACUUUAGUGAUUACAGAAUAAAAUUGUCCCCUCUUUCCCAUCAACUUAGCUCUAUGUUUUCGAAAAGAUAAUACAUUAACCAUUGUGUUCUAUACCUUCUGAAGCAAAUUCCACAUGAUACAAUUCUACUUACACUAAUAAAAGUUUGUUUUCCAGCUA